rnacentral:rRNA from 1 species
AUUCCAGCUCCAAUAGCGUAUAUUAAAGUUGUUGCAGUUAAAAAGCUCGUAGUUGGAUUUCUGGUUUGAUGCCCUGGCCCGCUGCUAUUUUGGUAGUGUGUGCCGGUUGUGCGUCUGCCAUCCUUCUAGGGAACGUUCCUUCUCUUCACUGAGCCGGGUUCGUGAUCUAGAUCGUUUACUUUGAAAAAAUUAGAGUGUUUAAAGCAGGCUUUUGCUAUGAAUACAUUAGCAUGGAAUAAUAAUCUAGGACUUCGGUCAUAUUUUGUUGGUUUCUGUAACUGAAGUAAUGAUUGAUAGGGAUAGUUGGGGGCAUUCGUAUUUAACUGUCAGAGGUGAAAUUCUUGGAUCUGUUAAAGACGGACUACUGCGAAAGCAUCUGCCAUGGAUGUUUUCAUUG